rnacentral:lncRNA from 12 species
GUGGGAUUCCCAAGGUCUAACUAAGCCCUUGGGGGUAGGGGUGAUCAUAUCUAGUCCUGCCCCUUCCGGUCCCAGGGCUCUUUGGACAAGGCGGCCUUGGCGCUACAAAUAAUAUAAGGAAAAGGAAUGUUGAAAAAGCCCUUGAGAAUAAAUAAAUAAGGAAGGAAGGACAGGAGGGAGGAACCGUCCGGGAGCCGCGGGCGUCUGCCUCGCCCUGCCCGGUCGCCGCCGACGGAAGGCGGGUGGCUCCCCCUAGCGCCGAGUGACAGCUCGCUAUCUAGACGGACGUGGGCGGGGACUGCCCGCAGGUCUCUGUGGCGCAAUCGGUUAGCGCGCUCGGCUGUUAACCGAGAGGUUGGUGGUUCGAGCCCACCCAGGGACGAGUUGGCCUUUUUAGAACCUAGAAAACGUCCUUUGGCGGGGGCACCACCGGAGGACUGACGCCGAGGCCGAGGCCGGCCAUAAGGCCAUCGCGGACUCUGGAGGAAGAAAACCCAUGGCUGAGAAUCCGGAAAUCCUCGAAGGGCUGCAACCCUCUAAAUGCCUUUUAACAGUGCAGUUGCUGCCAUCCUUUGUCCCUUUCCUUAUACUCUUUCCGGUAAGUUGGUCCUAGGUGUUUAUGGUUACAGAUAAGGCUGUCAUCCUCGUUCUCGUGCACAUAUUUUUGGCCACCUGACAAAUAUUUCUGCAGGGUAGAGGCCCGGAAGAGCAAUUACUCUAACAUAGUCUUUCCACGGUUCCUAUAUCAUCCAAUUUGUUUUUCCCUGUUGACGGGUUAGUUAUAACUCUUUCUUUUGUUAUUUCAGCGACCGCUUCAGGCUUCAUAGCAGCACACACCUGUAACUUACCAGCCUCCCUCCAAGCCAUCUCCUACCUCUUCACAUUCCUCCAAUUUAAUAUCAUUGGAAGAACUUAAAGAUGACAAUAGACCUUGAAAUUGCAGAUUGACUUGACAAAUGAUGGAGAAAUGCAUGUUCGGAUUUAUAUAAGAUACCUUAAAAGGUUUACCCGCCGUCCCCACCCCCACCCCCAAACUGUAAGAAUAACAAGUCAGUAUGAUGGCCAGAAUUAUAAGACUUAAUCUCCAUUAAAUUUUAUCAUAUAUGUAACUUACUGAAAUACAUACUUUGGUAUCGUAUAAGCUCUUAAAUAGUAUUGGAAGGAAAGCGUGUUCGUUAGACCAGUAGAGGAAAUUUAGGCAGCUAAGUGUCCCUAGGAGUUUGAAGAGAAAAUAAGCCCAAGACUUGUAUCAACUACAAUACUAUCUACCAAUAUUUUCUGCAUUAUUAGUAAAUCUAGAAGGCAACAUAAAGCAGUUUUUAGAUCAAAAUCAUCAAACCAAUCUGAUGCACACUAGGAGUCCUUUUAUAAAAUAUGACAUGAUAUAUAUAUCUUCUGUGCCAUUAUAUAGAAAAUAUUAAAAUCCUUUGAAGUGUUUAAG